UGUUGAAUGCGAUGUGUUCCCCGGGGCAGCCCCCAUUGCACGCCCGCGCCCGGCGCCACAGAAUCAAGUUGCUAUUGUAAAGACCUACUGCUUGAAACUUCCCCAAGCCCAGUUGCCAGACUCAUGAUGCUGCAAAAACGUCAAUACAUUCUGCCACCAAACUGCUCAGCUCUGCGUUUCAGUGUAAUGACUCUGGCAGAGAUGCUGUUCCAAUAGGCACGCAGAUCAGUUGCAAAAAAAAAAAAAAAAAAAAAAAAAGAGGGCAGCCUCGAAUCAAGGUCUAUAAUUCAUCUGGAAUGAAGAAAAAAAAAAGUUUGAGAGUAAACUCCAUUUAUUUUGCAGGCUUAACUUCUUAAUUUGUUCUCCGGCCGGUUGUAGGGGUGUGCACAAGAGCACAGUUGUCUCUGUCUGUGUUGGUAGCAUAGUUGUACUUCUGCACACCUGUAAUUUCUUUCUUUCAGUGGAAAGAGUUGCUCCCUUCACCCAUGAGGCCAAAAGGAGAAAAAAAAAUCACAUUUAAAAUAGGAGCAUCACAGUAAAUUCUGUAAAUGACUCCUUCAGCUGAACAUGUGUGAGAAGUGACAGUGUGCAAAAGUUUUAUAUUUGUAUUUCAAAACAAUAGUAAAUGCAAAUGCUCUAGAAACAAGAGUUGUAGACCUGUUUAACUGCACUGCAUAUCUGUAGUCUGUCCUCAUAGUUGCCUUUAGAAAGGAAAUACUUCUUGCUUUUACUCCAUAAGAGCAGAAAUCAAGAAGUUCAAUGACCUUUUCCAUAAACCAGCUGGGAAUAGAAGUAGCAGUUUGAUGCUAUAACCAUGUUUUCCAUUUUGUGUCGGUUGCACACCCUUACCGCAUGAACCACUGCGAAAUUUAGAAUUCUCUAAGUACUUAACAUUAUUUAGUGUAUUUUGUAAAGAAGUGAAGCAGUUUGCUCGUUCUGAAGAGCUAUUUUACCUGCAAAAUAAAUACCCAUGAAUCAUGAAUUAACUGAUGUUAGUGAAAUUUCUUGCCUCCUUAUUUCCCCCCUCUGUUUUUUUUAGUUUUUUCUUCUUUUUAAAAAAAAUUUUUUUCCUCCUGAUUGGACCUUAAGACAGGUCUAUGCGUAUUCAGCAGUUUCAGGAUAUGGUCCACCUGCUGUGCUAGAACUGCAUUGAUUGUUCCUCUUAUGUGUAAAUGAAAAUGAGUAUAAACAAUAAAACGCUUGACUGUGUUCUCAAGAGUGGUAGCAAUUGUGUGACUGAAAGGAGUAUUUAUUGGUUUACCCUCUUUCCCAGUAUUGACUUUUUAGGUAACACUGAUUUGAUGAGUCACUCAAGAAAGCAAUUGAUGAAGGUUGAAAUUACAAGCUUCAAUCAGGGGUCAGUUUUUUAACAGGCAGCUUUACUUUCAUUGUAGCCAAUUCUGUUAGGCAUAAUUCUUACUAUUUUUGUGUAAUGUCAGAAAAAAAAUGUUUUUUUUUUUUUUUUUUCACAAAUUUUUCUUACUCUUUAAAAGCAAACAAAACUUACUUUAGCUUUUGGUGGAUAGUGUAAUCAAUGUUCUUUUAAAGCUGUGUGUAUGUAUUCCAGAUGGAGGCUGUUAAAAGACUGGAAAAGUCUUACAUGAUUUAUCUACCUGCUCUUCUUCUGAGAGUUAUUCAAGUACUAAGAACUUACUUAACUGGAUAGUAAAGAAAAUAUGUGACCCUUUGUGCUUCUACUGGUCAUAGGCAGGAGAAAGUCUGUAAGAUACAAACUGAAGCCUCGAAAAAUAACUAUUUUCAGUAAUUUGAAGAAAUCCAAAAGAAUUGCCUUGAAAUUGCAUACCUCUAAAAAGAGAACUAGUAUCCUAUGGUUCUAGAAAGUACCCUCAAAUUAUUAAAGACAAAUGGGAUAAGAGGAUUUUAGAAAAAUGUUGUUUUAUUUGUUUGAAAUGCCUAUAAUAAUUUUAAAUUUAAGGGGUUUUUCCAUAUAUGGUGGGGAAAAAAAGGCAAGGAUGAUAACAUAAAACAAUGCUUAACCAAGUCUCAUUUGUCAUUUUUCGAUCUUGUAGAAUGAAUUUUGUUUACCCCAAAUUCUUUCUUACUAGGCUUCUUACAUGUGUAGAAAACGAAAUUUAAAGUGAGUGCUCUCAGUGUUUCCAGAAACUUGAGAUUUCUGUCAGUUUUACAGAGUUAGGGGGCUUGGAGAGCAGGGAGGUUCAGGAGUUGGACUAUGCAUUCCUCACACUGUUGGAGUAUACCUUCAUCUUCAGCAAUGGGCAGCAAAUACUCCCAGCUCCCUGUUGUGUUGUGAGGAUUUUGCUGAGAAGCUAAUUCUUGAGGAAAACAUUCUAAGUUUAUACUGAUGCUCUGAACUUUCUGCACAAGCAAACAGUUAGAUAGCCAUGCUGGCUGUUGGGGGAAGACAGUCAGUGUGGAAGCUGCCCUGGGUGACUUGAGGGCAGAGGAGAGGAUGCUGGCUCGAGCCCUGCUGAGGUACCUGGUAGUUAAAGGCCGUGUGCUCCUGGAGUAGCAGCAUCUACUUCAGGAAACCAUUCACAUGGGGGGAUAGGUAGAGUGAGGACACACAUGUGUUCACAGUGGAAGAGAAGAAAUGUAGGGCAAACAUUGCGCAGUGCUGGAGAAUAUAAAUAUGUAAAGCAUGUUCCAAGAUUCACAGGGGGUAUUUUAGGGUGGAGAGAGUGUCCCGUGUGAGCUUAGCAGCUCUGUGAUUGGCAGAGUGUGUCCUGGUUGAACCUAGGUUUUAAAAGACACUCAGGAAUGGUGGUAAAAUUUUGACUCUCUCUGAAGAGGUCUGAGAAUGUUGCUGUCCUGCUUCUCUGUUCCCUUGCUUUGCCUGGUCACUGCACUCUGCCUCUGGGAGGCUGGAGCUUCUGAAAUUUUUAGUAGGAGGGCUGUCCUUUCUGUCCACCCUAUGUCUGUAUUCCUGUGGAAAUGGCUCAGUGAAUCCUGCCUCUGAGUGUUUUCUCAUGGGAGCCUCUUCAUGACUCCACAGGUAAACUCCAAAGGUGCCUAAGCCCAUGAUGUUCCAGUCUUUCAUUACUUACUUUUAUCUGUUUCUUGCCUUGGGUUCAGAUACUCAAAUGAUGCUUUUGAUGCAAAUCUCUGCUGGGCACUGAGGUUUGAAGUUGAACCCACACUUGCAAACCUCGUGUUUCCUAUGUUUCAUGGUAAGGGG
ensembl:lncRNA